UAAUACUUUAUGACUAAAGGCACAUUGUGGU
rnacentral:piRNA from 1 species